rnacentral:rRNA from 1 species
AUUUUCGGAGGGGGGGCCCUAUACCUGCAAGUCGAGCGGACAGAAGGGAGCUUGCUCCCGGAUGUUAGCGGCGGACGCCUGAUUAACACGUGGGUAACCUGCCUGUAAGACUGGGAUAACUCCGGGAAACCGGAGCUAAUACCGGAUAGUUCCUUGAACCGCAUGGUUCAAGGAUGAAAGACGGUUUCGGCUGUCACUUACAGAUGGACCCGCGGCGCAUUAGCUAGUUGGUGAGGUAACGGCUCACCAAGGCGACGAUGCGUAGCCGACCUGAGAGGGUGAUCGGCCACACUGGGACUGAGACACGGCCCAGACUCCUACGGGAGGCAGCAGUAGGGAAUCUUCCGCAAUGGACGAAAGUCUGACGGAGCAACGCCGCGUGAGUGAUGAAGGUUUUCGGAUCGUAAAGCUCUGUUGUUAGGGAAAAACAAGUGCAAGAGUAACUGCUUGCACCUUGACGGUACCUAACCAGAAGGCCACGGCUAACUACGUGCCAGCAGCCGCGGUAAUACGUAGGUGGCAAGCGUUGUCCGGAAU